rnacentral:lncRNA from 1 species
CAUUAUUAUAAUAGUGAAAAGUGGUAAAUUCACAAAAAAAUCCAAUACCGGUCUAGUGAAAUCAUAGCUAUUCAUCACAGGAUUCAACAUUCACCAGGUAACUGACACACACACGUGAGGAUGGUGACUGGGUCAUCACAACAUUCAGUAUUCACCAGAACUGAUGCACCCACGUGAUGACGGUGACUGGGUCAUCACCACAUUCAGUAUUCACCAGGUAACUGACGGACACGUGAUGACAGUGACCGGGUCAUCACAACAUUCAGUAUUCACCAGGUAACUGACGCACCCACGUGAUGACGGUGACUGGGUCAUCACAACAUUCAAUAUGCACCAGGUAACUGACAGACACACAUGAUGACGGUGACCGGGUCAUCACAACAUUCAAUACUCACCAGGUAACUGACGGACACACGUGAUGAUGGUGACCGGGUCAUCACAACAUUCAAUAUUCACCAGGUAACUGACGGACACACGUGAUGACGGUGACUGGGUCAUCACAACAUUCAAUAUGCACCAGGUAACUGACGGACACACGUGAUGACGGUGACCGGGUCAUCACAACAUUCAAUACUCACCAGGUAACUGACGCACACACGUGAUGACGGUGACUGGGUCAUCACAACAUUCAAUACUCACCAGGUAACUGACAGACACGUGAUGACGGUGACCGGGUCAUCACAACAUUCAAUACUCACCAGGUAACUGACGGACACACGUGAUGACGGUGACCGGGUCAUCACAACAUUCAAUACUCACCAGGUAACUGACGGACACACGUGAUGACGGUGACUGGGUCCUCACAACAUUCAAUAUUCACCAGGUAACUGACGGACACGUGAUGACGGUGACCGGGUCAUCACAACGUUCAAUAUUCACUGGGUAACUGAUGCAUCCACGUGAUGACGGUGACCGGGUCAUCACAACAUUCAAUAUUCACCAGGUAACUGACGCACACACGUGAUGACGGUGACUGGGUCAUCACAACAUUCAGUAUUCACCAGGUAACUGAUGGACACACGUGAUGACAGUGACCGGGUCAUCACAUUGAAUAUUCACCAGGUCACUGACGCACGCAUGUGAGGACGGUGACUAGGGGGAAAGGCUCUCGUGGUCACAGGCCCUUAUCAGGAGCAGCAUCUCUGUUAAGGUUCAAGGACCCCUUACGCAUGCCCCCAUGGGUGUCGCAGGUGGCCUGUCUGCAUCCUCACCCCUCUCUGGCCCUUCUCCAUUUUCUCUGACACUCAGACCCUCUCUGCUGGCUUGGCCUCAUCUACCACAGCUGGUGUCUGCCUCCAGCCUCCCUACCAUUCUGCUGGGGUCUUUGCCUCCAGCCUCGUGACCAUUCCGCA